AAGCCAUCGGGCUGGUAGCCUAGGGGAUGGAAACGCUGGUGAGGCUAAGUACCCAGCUAGCUCAGCAGAGGGGACCAGAAUGAGCUGGUGCUGCUCUUAUACCCACCGGGGAAGUACGGCCUCCUCACUAAAUUUAAUUGCCUCUGGGGUCCUUCAGCUGUGCACGGACUUUGGCGAGGAGGAGGCAGGCCCCUGGCAGCAAAAAUAACUGCCCACCUGCCCACAUCAAUAUACCUCCCAGCUGUUGGGCAUCUCAAAGCUGCAGCAGGGAAAGGACUUCAGAAACAAUGCCCAGUAAUAUGGUCCGGCCAAUUCUUCAGCAUUGUGCAGGACGGCAGCACGCCCCACUGGUGCUAGAGCUGGGCCGUGGCGUCAGAGAGACCUCAGCGGCUGUCCAGGGUUUUCAAGGAAGCAGCCUUCCAAGUGCAGAAAAACAGUGUGAGCUUGGACAUUGCUGCUAAGGCAAACUGCACAACAGUGCUGGCGACCCCAGCUGACGGCACCCAGAACGCUUGUGUGACUUAGAGGCACAGCCGCUCCCUCCAGUGGAAGGGGCACCACCCCUCCCAGUCACCUCAUUUCUAGGCAACCCUGUGAGAACCAUCCAGUGGACAAUCCUGCCUGUGUCCCCGCAGUCCUUCUUCAAGGUAAUUAAACACGGAUUUGUCAAACACCUAUUUUCCUCCAUGUAGAGACGCAGCUGAUCAUCCCAGUUGAAAAUUCGUUGAGCUGUGGAACCCAACAGUCCCAGAUUCAAACCACAGCUUCGCUGUGAAUUAUCUAUGUGAUCUUGGGCAAGUCAGAGGGCCUCUCUGCACCCCAGCUUCCAUGUCUGUAAAAGGGGGGUAAAAACUGUACCUAGAACCAUAGGAUUAUUUUGAAGAUGAAACGUGGUUGGAACUGGAGGGUAUUAUGCUGAGUGAAAUAAGUCAAUCGGAGGACAAAUAUUAUAUGUUCUCAUUCAUGGGGGAAUAUAAAUAAUAGUGAAAGGGAAUAUAAGGGAAGGGAGAAGAAAUGUGUGGGAAAUAUCAGAAAGGGAGACAGAACACAAAGACUGCUAACUCUGGGAAACGAACUAGGGGUGGUGGAAGGGGAGGAGGGCGGGGGGUGGGGGUGACUGGGUGACGGGCACUGAGGGGGCACUGGACGGGAUGAGCACUGGGUGUUAUUCUGUAUGUUGGCAAAUUGAACACCAAUAAAAAAUAAAUUUAUUAUUAAAAAAAUAAAAAA
rnacentral:lncRNA from 12 species